AACGAACGCUGGCGGCAGGCCUAACACAUGCAAGUCGAACGCCGUAGCAAUACGGAGUGGCAGACGGGUGAGUAACGCGUGGGAACAUACCCCUCGGUUCGGAAUAACUUAGGGAAACUUGAGCUAAUACCGGAUACGUCCGAGGUUUUAACCGGCCUCGGAGAAAGAUUUAUCGCCGGAGGAUUGGCCCGCGUCUGAUUAGCUUGUUGGUGAGGUAAUGGCUCACCAAGGCGACGAUCAGUAGCUGGUCUGAGAGGAUGAUCAGCCACAUUGGGACUGAGACACGGCCCAAACUCCUACGGGAGGCAGCAGUGGGGAAUAUUGGACAAUGGGCGAAAGCCUGAUCCAGCCAUGCCGCGUGAGUGAUGAAGGCCUUAGGGUUGUAAAGCUCUUUUACCCGGGAAGAUAAUGACGGUACCGGGAGAAU
rnacentral:rRNA from 1 species